rnacentral:rRNA from 1 species
GAUGAACGCUGGCGGCGUGCCUAAUACAUGCAAGUCGAACGGAGCUCGGUUGGAAAGUUCUUCGGAACCGGAAUUCUGAGCUUAGUGGCGGACGGGUGAGUAACGCGUGAGCAAUCUGCCUUUGAGAGGGGAAUAACAGUCGGAAACGACUGCUAACACCGCAUAAUGCAUCGAGAUCGCAUGGUCAUGAUGCCAAAGAUUUUAUCGCUCAAAGAUGAGCUCGCGUCCCAUUAGCUAGUUGGCGGGGUAACGGCCCACCAAGGCGACGAUGGGUAGCCGGACUGAGAGGAUGAACGGCCACAUUGGGACUGAGAUACGGCCCAGACUCCUACGGGAGGCAGCAGUGGGGAAUAUUGGGCAAUGGGGGAAACCCUGACCCAGCAACGCCGCGUGAAGGAAGAAGGCCCUCGGGUUGUAAACUUCUUUUACCAGGGACGAAGAAAGUGACGGUACCUGGAGAAAAAGCAAACGGCUAACUACGUG